UCAAAAAAUUCAACAGUUUGAGCUUCAUGAUCUUUUCAAACACCUUCGCAAUAUUCAAAGUGAGAGAAAUCGACCUAAUCUCAGAUUUAAAAGUACUAGUCCAUCGAAGGACAAUCAGUCCGUAGAAGGGCUUUAACUGAAUGUGCAUUGUCUUAUUUCCAAAAAGGAUAGCACAAAGAUCAAGGUUCUUGAGGAACUAGCUUUAGAUAGGCAGGUCUCGUUCAUUUCCAUGACAGAAACUUGGCUUCGACCAGGGGUCUUAGAUGAAGAGCUGGCCAUGGUUGGUUUCAAUUUAGUUCGAUGUGAUAGAGUACGCCCUAACAAUCCCAUUUUUCCGCAUGGGGGCGUAUGUCUAUAUGUUAGAAAUGAUUUGCACACUAGUCGUGUAGAAAUGUCGAAUGGAGAAGUUGAGGUCUUAGUUUGUCAUCUUCAAGGUCUUGAUCUGUCCAUUGUAACAAAAUAUAGUGCCCCCUCUUGUUCAGUAAGCUCGUUCUUGUUAGCUCUCAAAUUCAUAUAAAAUGAGUUGCACUGGUUAGUCUGCCCAAAGGUUUUCUUUGUAGGGGUCUUCAAAUUUCCGGCUAGGUUUUAGAGCUGGAGUUUAGUCCAGAUGGGUACCUUCCCAUUUCGAAAUCGACGUCUCAGUCGAUCGAAAAGCUGGAGGAGUUUGCGAUCUUACGCAAUUUGUCCCAACAUGUUGGUGUAGCCACCUGAGCAGAGAACGUUCUGGACUUGGUCUUUUCCAAUGACCUUGAUGUGAUCCAGAAUGUCCAUGUGACGCCCAGUAAUCUGUCAGAUCAUCAUGUUCUCGAGAUAGGGUCGACCAUUACUCAAAAGCCGGCGGCUCUAGAGUAAGACUGGUCAAAAAAGGUCGGUCUGCAUAAGUUCAAGUUUAAAGAUGAACGUUGGCCAUUGAUUAGCGAAAGGUGAGGGGAGCUUGAUUUUAUUCCAAUGCUGAAAAAGGAAUCGUCUUUCGAUGUAGCCUUAGACAAAAUAAUUCUAGUUUUUGGAGGACGUUUGUGUACAGCCAGGGUCAGAACGGCACCAGAAAUGACAUAUUUGAGUUUUGUAGUACAACGUUCUCACUUAAAUCCAAUUAAAAUGGAUCAUGGGCAACUGAUGAUUUUGUUUUAAUCAACCCUUUUGACAAACAUUGUGGUUAUCCAUGUAUUGACAUAAAAUUUCAUAAACUUCUAUUUUGCACAUGCUUAGUUCUUACAACUUAAAAGUUGCGUUUUACGCCUUAAAAGAUCGAAAAAUGGCCUAACUGUGUUUCCAGUUAUUCCCAAAGAAUAUGAUUUAUGAUUAUCCAUUUCAAUGACACCAAUAGAAGUAAUAUUUCUCCGUUUUCUUUAAGUUUUUUUUAAAGCUAAAAGUAGCAAAAAAUGUCGCUUAAAACUUACAAAAGAUGCAAAAUUUCCUUUCAUUUUACUAAAGUGCCAAAAGCUACACUAUACUAUCAAGUUCCUAAAAUAUUUGAACGAUAAAUGAGACAGUUUAAUUUUCAAAGUUGUCACUUUUUGCAAUAAUUAAUUUCGACGUACUAUCGAUGUUUUUUUCAACGUUAAUUUUGUCAAAGUUCAAGAUUAAGCUUGAUUAAAGUUGCGAUUGACAAGUUUGACAUCACAAUUGUGAAUUAUUGACAUUAAGUAAGUUUCAAGUUAUAUUACAAACUAUAUUCGGGUUUUUUUCUACCUGCUUCAGAAAUUUGAAAUAUUGUCAUUUAUAUUUUAGGCAUAGAAAAAGCUCAUUAUAUUUCGUGGCAAUUGCUUUAAUAAUUAACCGGAGCAAUUUGUAGUCAAAUUUGAUGGAAAUGCAAUCAUUAAAAACGAGAUAUCUUACCGUUUGCUUCAUGGAUUUGAAUAAGAUUUUACUUGGAAACGCAACUAAGGUUUUCCCAACAUCUAUUGAUUACGGUUUUUGGAAAUGUUUUCUCUUUUUAAGCUUUAAGUGGAUUAAUAUUACAAAAGUUGUUCCUUCUGUUUAAAACACAAAGGAAAGUCGUUGUUAGAAGUCUUGGCAUUUUCAGAAAAAACUUUAGCAGUGCUGUGAGGAACACCUUGCAAAACAAGCAUCAGGCAUUGGUGGAAAAUGGAGGGUUGUAUUAAGGUAUAGUUUAAAUUUCCACUUGUUAGGAAGUUUACAUAAAAGGCAAGUAUCAUUUAAAAUGUACAGAGUAACACCACAGCCCAAGUCUGCUUAGUUUCAAUUUGAAUUUUGGACUCUAAAAAAAUUGGUUUGAACAAAAGCAUCCAAAAUAGUCAAAUGAAAAAGGUAUUGUAAAGAAACAUAAUUCCAGUUUCAUGAGGCAUUCACAUGAAUUUAAAAUACAAUUAUGUAACUUAGAGUUACAACAGGCCGAUUUUUUGUUUGAGAGCCAUUCCCAGAAAGAGAACCAUAAUUUCAGGACUAGGGCACCAAAUUACUUGGAAUUUGUUCAGGAUAUUCCUGGAACAAUUUUUUUCAAACAAUAUUAUGAAGAAAAGAAUAUUGACAAAUGGGGCUUUGAGCAAAACCUUCCUUUGGUAAGAAUUCUUGAUUGGUAUUAUUAAGGAAUUGUACUUCAAGAUAAGUGAAAAUUCAUUUUAUGUAUAUUGACACGCCUCGUUUCAAGCAAAUGCCAUCAAUGGUUACCAAAAUGGCAUUCGUCACAUAUUUUGUAGAAUAGAUAAGCCAAAACUUGACAUUGGAAAAUAUCAACACAAACAGUUUUGCCUUAUUUGGCCGGAAAGGUUUGGUGAUCACAAAAGAGUGGCGUUUCCUUCCUCUAGUGUCCUUGACUAAGCAUGGCCUAUAGAAGUACCUCAAGAGAAAACCAAACGGAAUGUUUUACCUCCUAUUCAAAUUCAUGCCGGUUGAGAGGGUGCUUAAUCAAUUAUUUCUUCUCAUAAAGUACCAGGUUAGAACUCAAAAAGUCACAACAUUAAAGGACUCGUACGAUUCUAGCCCAACACUAGAAUCAAGGAUGUACCAUGUACAAGAGACUAAAAGAGAGCCAAGCUAUUGGAUUCUAAAAUCAAUCAUCUUGUAUUACAAGAGUUUAAAUACUGAAAGAACGGGUCGUAAUAGUUGGAACUGAUCAGCGGUGUCAUCUAUGAAGGAAUGGAGGGUAAGAGCGAAUUCAAUAAAAACACAAAGUAAUGAUUUCAAAGCAUUUCCAUAUGGAAAGAAAUAUUAGUGGAAUAUACGACGACAAUUAGAUCCAGUUAAAUUACCAUCUCCAUGGCACAACGACAAUGUGCCAUGAGAAAUUUUCUCUCUCCAUCCAUGUUGUAAAACAUAAUAUCUGGAGACAAAAUUGUAGAAUACCUUCUUUCAAGGGAGAAAAAAAGCCUACAUAGUGCUUGUUCAUAUCGAAAUGAAUGGAAUACUGGUUUACUUAUUUCAUAAGUGAAAUUCCUUUUUGUUAGUUCCAUUAUAUUGUGAAAAGUAUUCGUUUGAUGUGGUAAGGUGUGCAGCCAUUCUAAGUUUCGCUUUAUGUUUCCAGAACUUGGCCAUGGAAUCGAGAUGUGUUGGGGGAGCAUUUGCCCUGGUGUUAACAAUUGUUUGCGGUCAAGACACAUACCAAUCUGUACCCUAUUCGUACUACGACCAGAAUUUGUCCACAGACGGUCAAGAGUUGCAAUAUAAUCCUCCUGAAGCAUACUAUCCUAUUUCAUCUAGACAAGGAACUAUCGGACUUCUACCUCUUGGAAUUGCCGCAGCUGUCGGCGUGGGGGCUGCUGUUGUUGGAGGGGCUUUAGCACUUCAAGCAGCAAAUGCUCGGACCACUUUGACUAACAAAGUUGCAACCGCCACUUCCACCGCUGAAAAUAUUAACAACAUAAUAAAUGCCCAAUCCCCUAUUUUGACUUCAAUAGUCAUGACCCAAUCUCCAACCGCUGCUCGUUUAAGUAGUGUUUGUGCAGCAGCGGCAGCAAUCGCACAACUCCCUCCUGCUGGACUCGUUGCUACAGAUCAUGGGAUGAAUGUUGCGGCUAUAAUUGAUGCGCUAGAAAUGAAUAUGUGUACUAUUUGAAAAUCAUUUGAAGUAUUGCCAGCCCGAUUUGCUUUUUAUGUUAAUUAUCUUGUUUUUCUGCUUGCUGCAAAGCUUCAUCAACUUUAACUUUGAUUAAGUUUGGUGGUGACCAAGUCAAGUGCCAUACUGAGGACAAAAUGCAAACAAAUGCCAGCUUUAAAAGUUCGUACAUAAUUUAAAAGUGAAGUGAUGUUGACAUUGACAUUGUAAGUACUAUAGAUUCAUAUUGAAUCACAAUGUGUUGUGACAAUCAGUUGAUUUGACGAUUUCUGUGAAUUUUGAACUGAAUAAAACAUUUAUGAGACUA